AAUUACAAAUAUAAAUAUUAUUAUAUAAAUUAUAAAUUAUUAUUUAAUAAUUCAGAAUAUUUAAUAAUUCAGAAUUAUUAAAUCAUUAUGUCAGAAUUAUUUAGACAUAAUUGACUAAAUGUCCCUUAUUAAAAGAUUGCAACACUAGAGUUGUACUUUUUUAUUCUUAUGAGAACUACACAUGCUAGAGAUUUUCUGCAUUAUUUGUUCACCACAUACCUAGCACAUCGUUCUAUAAGUAAUAUUAAUUUUAGCAAUUUCCUUUGUAAAUAUGAAAGAUACAACCUUCUAUGUUAAUAAUUUGUCAUCUCUGUUACUAAAUAAAAGUGCUAAGAGAGUAAGACUAUAAUCAGUAGUAGACUAUCCAUGUCUGUCAGGCCCUAGGUACAUGCCUCAGUCAGGGUUUCUAUUCCUGCACAAACAUCAUGACCAAGAAGCAAGUUGGGGAGAAAAGGAUUUAUUCGGCUUACACUUCCAAACUGCUGUUCAUCACCAAGGAAGUCAGGACUGGAACUCAAGCAGGUCAGAAAGCAAGAGCUGAUGCAGAAGCCAUGGAGGGAUGUUCUUUACUGUCUUGCUUCCCCUGACUUGCUCAGACUGCUCUCUUAACCAAGACUACCAGCCCAGAGAUGGUCCCACCCACAAGGGGCCUUUCCCCCUUGAUCACUAAUUGAGAAAAUGCCUUACAGUUGGAUCUCAUGGAGGCAUUUCCUCAACUGAAGCUCCUUUCUCUGUGAUAACUCCAGCUGUGUCAAGAUGACACAAAACUAGCCAGUACAGUACAUUUCCAAGCAAAAAAAGAAACAAGCAAACCAACAAAUAAACAAGUCCUGUUAAAUCAUUGCUUGACACAAUCCUACUUUAAUACUAAUCUGAAUAAGAGAAGUAACCACUGAGGUCCUCCAAAGAAUCUAGGCUUUAAUGAUCUCAUUUUGUUGAAGAAUUUCUUUUUAUUCAUCCUUUUGUUCUACAAAUAAAAGUAUAAAUAUAGCCUUUGUGGGUCUUGUGCUAAUCUCAGUUGUCAACUUUAGAUGUAGAACCUCUGGGCACACUUAUGAAGGACUAUCUUGCUUAGGUUAAUUGAGGUGGGAUGGCCAGCCUUGGAAGACCAUUGUGGGCAGCACCACUCCCUGCGCUGGGAUCCUGGACUGGAUGAAGAGGAGAAAGUGGGCUGAGCACAAGUGUGCUGCUCUCUUCUUCCUGCCUAGAUAUGCAGUGUGACCAGUUGCAUCAAGCUCCUGUCUUUUAGAUUCCUCAUCAUGGUGUGAUCCUGAACUGGGAGCCAAAACAAACCUUCCUUCCAUAAUUUACCUUUGUUGUGGUAUUUUAUCAUAGAAAUAGGAAAAGGAACUGAGUCAGAUUGCAUGGUCGCAUGGUGCCGAAUAUCAUAUCCAGAGAGUUGUGCAGUCUAAACAUACUGUUCACAACAGCCCUGUCUCUGGUUUAUAUUAAUACACGUGUUUCCUUUGCUUUCCCCACAGCUUCUCUUCACCUUUCAAAAGACCCAGGGGAUUUCUGGAAAUUUCAACAGUCUAUCUGAUCCUGGGUAUUAGUUCUCAGAAAAUUUCACUUCAUGUUGUUUUGUAGAUAUGGAAAGCAAGAGACAGUUCCUUCAAUGAUAUUUGAUUAAUUCCUAAUUUGUUAUUUGGUGCAACUUUACAGAAUUUUCAGUCAAUUUAGUUUUUCAAUUGUGCUGAUUAUUACAUAAUACAAAAGUAUUUGUUCUUAAUUGGUUUGAAUUGUAAUGAAUUUAACUGAAUUAUGAAUUACUUAUAUUCAGUGACCUAAAUAAACUUAUUAUGUGAUUU
rnacentral:lncRNA from 1 species